CUCAAGGGUGGGGAUGGCCGAGUGCCCCGAGCCCCCGCCCCUCGCCAAUAGGCGCAGCAACGGGGGCGCACUGACAGGUAGCCGGAGUAAGCUAGGGGGCCGCUCGGGUCCCCGCGGCUGUACUACGCCCCUUCUCCUGGCGCUUGGCGAGGUGUCUCCCGUCUGCUCCUAGCCAGGCCCGGCGCUGCCGACCCCAGCGGUCCCAGCGCCGGUUCCAGGGCGGGCGGAAGGGGGUGGCGGAGCCCGCAGCCCGCUCCUUUGGCCUGGGCUCCGCUCCUUUGCUGGCUGGAGACCCCUUGCCCGGUACCGUAGCAGCCUAGGUUGCCCCUGAUAAGAUCUUGGCUUCCUUGAUAUAAUCCUGAAACUCGCCACCACCGGUCCUUGCAGCAGCGUCAGCAGCAGCAGCAGCGGCAGCAACAGCAGCAGCAGAAGCAGCGGGACGAAGCAGGAGCAAAACAAAUCGAGGCACGGCAAAUGGUGUAAUUCGAUCCAUCUCCAAGUCAAUCCGUCAGGCGGCGCGGGGCCCACCCCCAGGCGCGGACGGCAGGAGGCGCGGGUGGCCCGGCGCGUUCGCCUGAGCCCCGCGGCCAGCGCCGCCUGGAGGCCCCCAGCCCGGCGCCGCGGCCCCGCUGACCCCUCAGUGGCCUCCGCGUCCCUCCUCCCUGGCGCUCUGCUGCGCCUCCUCCCUCUCCCCACCUCGGAAGAGCUACUCCUUCCAGCAACUCCCAGCGCCUCUGUCAUCCAGCUCGCGGUAGCUGCUGCAGCCUGCGAAGCAGCCUUUUCGCUUUUCUCCCUCUUCCCCUUUUUCUCUCACUCUGUCACUUUCCUCCAGCUACCCAGAGGACAAAGUAUUGCAGCUCAGAUGAGCUGCAGGCGCAAUUGCUUUGUAAAGUUCUGCCUUAGUUUCCUAAUCUUUGUUUUUUAAGCGCAUCUUUACAAACCCGCCCCCAUAUUAUCUUUCUCGCCCUACCCCCUUCCAAUUUUUCUUUAUAACCACUAACCAAAACAGCUGGGAAGAAGCAAUCACACAUUGCUUUAUCUUUAUAAAAAUACAGAAAUUGCCUACUAAAAAUCCCAUUUCUAGUUUGAACGAAAGCCAUUCAGUACAGUAUAAUUUUGCAGGCUAAUGAGCCAGUUUUACAGGCAAGUGUUUCGUGUAAUAUGUUGUGGGAGAAAUGAGAAUGUCCUUGAAGUGACAUCAUUUAAAACUGACUGUCACAGAUGAAAGAAAAAAAUCAUGUAUUCCAAAACAAGAGGAUCUGAAUCCAAACUUCAUUUCCAAGAAUGGGCUGCAUUUUACUAAUUUCCAGCUGAAUUAUGAAUCACUGAGGGCUCCAAAUGGCUGGAAUGAACCAUGAUGCUCUAUUUAAAGGAAAAGAAAGAGGAGAGCCUUUUCGCCAAACUUUUAAUUUUCAUUUGAGUAUGGUUAAUUACCCUGAAAGAGAGAAGAUGGGGGCAAAAAAAGGGUUUUCCUUUCCUUAAGGGUUCCUGCUUUCUCCUGAGCACAAAGUUGCAAGAUUACAUUUGGAAAAUACCCUAUUCUGAGUUAUUUCUGAACCUUCCACUGGCGGCCUUUAAAAGAAACUCAGAAAAGACACCUCAAGGAACUGCUUGCUGCAGGACUCAUCAGGAGGACUGUCUCCCAGGUAGUUAACACUUUGUAACCAAAAUGAAAGAGGAGGAACGGGGAGGGGGUGGCUUUUAAAAUAUAAACUCUCUUCCUGCUGUUCCUCCUAUUGGAAGAAAGGGGUAGGGGGCGGAAAGAACAGCUUGGGCAACACAGCUCUUUCAUUUUUCUGUUGUUGUUAAGGCUAUUGUUGGCUGGGUGGCUGGUUUUUUGGGUUGUGCUGGGAUCUGACAUCAUUGCAAGUUACUUGGCAGUCAGGGCCCUUCCCCAGCCAACUUCUGACCCAGAAAACUAUGCUUGUUUUACUGGCAUCCAGUCAUUCUGUGUUUUGUCCAUCAAGGGAGCAAGCCCCGCUGCAGGCAGAGGGCUCUGUGCACUGAAUGAAGAUGCGGAAAGGUGACCACUGGCUUGAUGAGGAAUCUGACUGCUGCCCACCUGAAAGCAGAAAGUUCAGGAGUUGUGCUGCGUCUGCUGCAGCAGCGAAGAGAAGAAAUUCAGUCCUCUAGAUUUCUGAAUUCUUCACUGAAAUUCAGUGAUGGCCACCUCUCCAGAGUGUCACCUGACAGAGUGCAGGUGACAACGGGGGUCCUAGACUGAGUUCUUAAAUCCAGGAAUGAAACAACUUCAGGUUACAGAAGGAUAUGAUAAUAGGUCACUUCAAACCAAAAAUUAGACACGUUUUCACUUUCAGUAUCAGUCUAGAUCCUUAGAGUCAAUCCCUUUAUUUGGCUUGCUAGGGGGAUAGAGGUCGGGAAGGGGACAGUGCACUGGCAUCCAAGGAACCACCCUUCGUCUUUUGGUCAGGACAAAAAUGAUUUUGACUUAUUAAAGAUUGAUCAUUUCCCUGGUUCCCAGAAUCAGAGAAAUGACACUCUUUUUAUUCGGAUUUUAGUGGAAAGAAUUCUAAGGAAACUGCUCACCCUUUAUGCUGUUUGUUGGCAUCUGGCCCUUUCAGCUGAUUUCCUACACUUUUAACCUGUUAGCCUUGUUUACUUCUCUAGUCUGACCCCGCACCCCAACUGCCACCUUAUGCUGUAGACAGGUAGCUCCCCAUCCUGUGACAUGUCUUCAUGUCCUCACUUGUGGCAUCUCUGAUUUCUGGGGCAUUCAUUCCCCAUAACUGAUGCAUUUUAAUUUCUGCUUUUCUUGACUUUGAACAAAAAUUUUGGUAUAGGUGUCAAAAUUUCCCCCAUCCCACUGCCUCUGGAAUGGGUUUAACACCUCUCUUCUGUGCUCUCCUAACAAGUUCACUUAUGUAACUUACCACAUUGAAGGAAAAGUAUCUGUUCAGGAUGUCUUCCCUACUGGCUGCUUCUUAACUAGAGGGAUCGUGCCUUACUUACCUGGGCAGCAACAGUGCCUAGCCCAGUGCCUGGUUUUUAAUGGACACUCAAUAAACACUUGUUAAUCAGAUCUGAUCAGGGAACCUUGAACUUGUUCACUUUGUUUUAUGUGCCAAACCAGACAGUAUAGUCAUCUCUAAAUUGCAUGCUCCUCCAGAGUAAGGAUUUAUUCACCUGGGUAAGCAUAGUACCUGUGAAAGGAUGUUUGUUGGAAGAGUGAAUGAUGAAGGAAAGGAGGGAAGGAAGAUAUGUGGCCUUUCCUGUCCCGGGAAAGGCCACUUAAAGGGCUCACUGCUGUAGGUGGUUAGUGACUAUGCUUUAUAGUGUUAUCUGCAUGUAUCUCCCAUCCGUGGUAAGUAGUAACCUAAUUUACAACCUAUUUUUUUGUUUAUUUACUUUAAAAGUAAAGUUCAGAAUUUUAUUUCUGUUUUUUUUCCAAUCCAGUUUUAAGAAUGAAAGCUAACUGAAAACUAUAGAAAGUCUGUGUGUAAUAGUCAAUAGAAUUUUAUCAAUCAUCA